AUUCAUAUAGCUUAUAAUUAGAGUUUAAUAUUGAAGAUAUUAAGGAAAAUAAAUUUAUUUUAUGAAUA
rnacentral:tRNA from 2 species